CCUUCUGCGGGUGGACGGCGGCGCAUUCGGUCGAGGGCCCUCCAUCGCCGCCACAGCGGGGUACCCGGCGACAAGUAAAACCGUGAGCCUCCCUUCGCUUCGGCGGGGGGAGCCACGAGCCUUCUCGUCGUCCCUCCGGGGCCUUCGGGAUAUGCCAUUCGACUACGACCUCAGAUCAGACGAGACAACCCGCUGAAUUUAAGCAUAUUACUAAUCGGAGGAAAAGAAACUAACCAGGAUUCCCUCAGUAGCGGCGAGCGAAUAGGGAAGAGCCCAGCGCCGAAUCCCCGUCCGACGGGCGGAUUGGGGAAAUGUGGCGUACGGAAGACCGCUUGCCCGGUGUCGCUCGGGGGCCUGAGUCCUUCUGAUUGAGGCUCAGCCCGUGGACGGUGUGAGGCCUUGGUAACGACCCCAGAUCAGA